AGUUAUUGAGAAUAAAUACUAUCAAAAUACCAAAACAUUGAAUGUUUUUAAAAAAAAAAGAGAUGUCUAAAGAUUCUUUUCAACAAUCAGAGAAGCGAGCAAUUAUGAUGGAAAAAAAUUCUCCUUAAGAAAAACUGAAAAAAUUGUAAGGCAAUAAGUGGAGUUGCUACUUCCUCUUCAACAUACGCUGGCCGAACCCCACGAGAUAAAUAAAAA
rnacentral:lncRNA from 1 species